GACGUAGGGUGCGAGCGUUGUCCGGAAUCAUUGGGCGUAAAGAGCGUGUAGGCGGCUCGAUAAGUCUGCUGUGAAAGUCCAGGGCUCAACCCUGGAAGGCCGGUGGAAACUGUCGGGCUAGAGUCCGGAAGAGGCGAGUGGAAUUCCUGGUGUAGCGGUGAAAUGCGCAGAUAUCAGGAAGAACACCUAUGGCGAAGGCAGCUCUCUGGGACGGUACUGACGCUGAGACGCGAAAACGUGGGGAGCGAACAGG
rnacentral:rRNA from 1 species